rnacentral:rRNA from 1 species
UACGGGGGGAGCAAGCGUUGUUCGGAUUUACUGGGCGUAAAGCGCACGUAGGCGGAUCGUUAAGUCGGGGGUGAAAUCCUGGAGCUCAACUCCAGAACUGCCUUCGAUACUGGCGAUCUUGAGUCCGGAAGAGGUGAGUGGAACUCCUAGUGUAGAGGUGGAAUUCGUAGAUAUUAGGAAGAACACCAGUGGCGAAGGCGGCUCACUGGUCCGGUACUGACGCUGAGGUGCGAAAGCGUGGGGAGCAAACAGG